rnacentral:rRNA from 1 species
UACAGAGGGGGCAAGCGUUGUUCGGAUUUACUGGGCGUAAAGGGCGCGUAGGCGGUCGUGACAAGUCACUUGUGAAAUCUCCGGGCUUAACUCGGAACGGUCAAGUGAUACUGUCGUGCUAGAGUACAGAAGGGGGCAACUGGAAGUUCUACUGGUGGUAGCGGGUGAAAUGCGUAGAUAUCGAGAGGAACACCGACGGCGAAGGCAGGUCUCUGGGCCACUACUGACGUGGAGAAGCGAAAGCAUGGGGAGCGAACAGG